UUCUGUAUCACAAUGAAGAGGCA
rnacentral:piRNA from 1 species